GGCAGUUGAUGAUGGCCGUGCUUCCCAUCAGCAGCAUCUUCCCACUGAUAUUACACAGUGAUACAUGUGGGAAAUGACAUGUUAGUGCUGAGGAGUCAUUACACCAAGAACAGGGGGUUUGGGACAUCUACCGAAAUCAUCUAUUUUCUGCUGCUGGACACAAGAGAGGUGGGAGCAUGCAAGCAUAGGCAAGCACAUCAAGUAUAUGAUCACAUAAACGCAACCAUGGGACACCUGGAAAAAGAUUUACAUUCACCUCUCAGGAGGAAUAUCAACCCCUGGCGCAAAAUACCCACUACUGAUAAUGAUGAUUGGCAGCUGCUUCUGAUUGGUUGAUGUACCUGGACCCCUCCUACUUAUAAGGAAGUUUCCUCGUGCACGGAAAAGGUUUACUACAGCUAGAAUUGGAAUCCACAUAACGCAAAAAGAGAUUAUACACCAGCCGAUAGA